rnacentral:rRNA from 1 species
GACGAACGCUGGCGGCGUGCUUAACACAUGCAAGUCGAACGAGUGGCGAACGGGUGAGUAAUACGUGAGUAACCUGCCCUCUGUUUGGGAUAAGCCUUGGAAACGGGGUCUAAUACCGGAUAAAGGGGGAUGGGCUCGCGGCCUAUCAGCUUGUUGGGGGGGUGAUGGCCUACCAAGGCGGUGACGGGUAGCCGGCCUGAGAGGGUGGACGGCGCCAUUGGGACUGUGAUACGUCCCAGGUGACUACGCGGGGCAGCAUUGGGCGAUAUUGCACCAGGGGCUAAACACGGAUGCAGCGACGCUGCUGGGGGGAUGAAGGCUUUCGGGUUGUAACCCUCGGUCGCUAUCGAACGGGUAGGUGGAGAAGAAGCGCCGGCUAACUACGUGCCAGCAGCCGCGGUAAUUC